CAAUGACUCUGCUUGCGUAUGCUCAGAUUGUAAGCUAAAGAAUGCUAAAGCUGUUGCAUCUAUUGUUUGUGUGCGCAUUAUUCUUUGCUAUAAAUUCAAUUAUUCACCUUCAAAAUAGUUUAUUAUUGGGACAUUCUCUUUGUACAUCAUGGAAGGUCAAGAGGACCUACCCUGUCAUUGUAAACCUAUGACAUGCCAUCGUCUUCGCAUAGCGGCUCCUCAUUUAACCAGACAUCUAGCUGUGAACAACAUUACAUUUAUCAAAUAAUGUGCUUGCCAAGUAAAAAACUUAGCUGCAAAGUAAAAAACUUGACCCACAGGGUAUGUUCCUCCAAGUAUGUGAGCGAAUAGACAACAUGGUGAUGGCUGAUGUCCCUUGGAGUAGACAAUGCAACUGGGCAUAGGUCCACUCUUUGCCCCCUUCACCUAUCCCCUAGAAUGGGUGUGUGUCACUGUGACAUAAAGGGUAUAGAAGCCCAAGAUUUAUUCACAAAUGUGUCGCACUGCUCUCUGCAAGUCAUUCUUCCCUCGAUGGGCAUAAUACAGUACAUUGCCUUCAUCCUCAUGAAAGAGGGAGUUCACAGCUACAGGCAGUGGGGCUGUGCUUGUGUAGUCUGUUAAUGCUGCUAACUCAAACAAACUUUGAUUGUAUAAAUUUCAACACUGCAUUGCCUCAAAGUUCACUUUUUUUUUAAUUUGACCUGAAUGUAGAGCUUUUGUGGGAUACACAGGCACUUUAUUAACUAUGAUUUACCUUUAGAUGCAACGCACAAGCAGCAGCAAACUUGCAGCAGCCA